rnacentral:rRNA from 1 species
GACGAACGCUGGCGGCGUGCUUAACACAUGCAAGUCGAACGGAAAGGCCCUGCUUUUGUGGGGUGCUCGAGUGGCGAACGGGUGAGUAACACGUGAGUAACCUGCCCUUGACUUUGGGAUAACUUCAGGAAACUGGGGCUAAUACCGGAUAGGAGCUCCUGCUGCAUGGUGGGGGUUGGAAAGUUUCGGCGGUUGGGGAUGGACUCGCGGCUUAUCAGCUUGUUGGUGGGGUAGUGGCUUACCAAGGCUUUGACGGGUAGCCGGCCUGAGAGGGUGACCGGCAACAUGGGGACUGAGAUACGGCCCAGACUCCUACGGGAGGAAGCAGUGGGGAAUAUUGCACAAUGGGCGGAAGCCUGAUGCAGAAACGCCGCGUGCGGGAUGACGGCCUUCGGGUUGUAAACCGCUUUCGCCUGUGACGAAGCGUGAGUGACGGUAAUGGGUAAAGAAGCACCGGCUAACUACGU